GAUGAACGCUAGCUACAGGCUUAACACAUGCAAGUCGAGGGACCGGCGCACGGGUGAGUAACGCGUAUCCCACCUAGCCAAUACUCAGUCAUAACCCGUUGCAAGACGGACUAAUUCCUGAUGGUAUUGGUUGGGGAUGCGUCUGAUUAGUUUGUUGGUGAGGUAACGGCUCACCAAGACUUCGAUCAGUAGUGGUUCUGAGAGGAAGGUCCACCAGAUUGGAACUGAGACACGGUCCAAACUCCGAGGGGAGGAAGGAGUGAGGAAUAUAGGGCAAUGGAGGCUAAUCGGAACCAGCCAAGUGGCGUGAAGGAUGACUGGCUAUGGAUUGUAAACUGCUUUGAAGUGAGAAUAUGUAUCACAUGAAUAAGGACCGGCUAAUUCCGUGCCAGCAGCCGCGGUAAUAC
rnacentral:rRNA from 1 species